rnacentral:rRNA from 1 species
UGAGGAAUAUUGGUCAAUGGGCGAGAGCCUGAACCAGCCAAGUCGCGUGAGGGAAGACGGUCCUACGGAUUGUAAACCUCUUUGUCGGGGAGCAAUAAAGCGUACGCGUACGCAGAUGCGAGUACCCGAAGAAAAAGCAUCGGCUAACUCCGUGCCAGCAGCCGCGGUAAUACGGAGGAUGUGAGCGUUAUCCGGAUUUAUUGGGUUUAAAGGGUGCGCAGGCGGAAAGUGCAAGUCAGCGGUCAAACGACGGGGCUCAACCCCGUCUCGCCGUUGAAACUGUCUUUCUAGAGUGAGCGAGAAGUAUGCGGAAUGCGUGGUGUAGCGGUGAAAUGCAUAGAUAUCACGCAGAACUCCGAUUGCGAAGGCAGCAUACCGGCGCUCAACUGACGCUCAUGCACGAAAGCGUGGGUAUCGAACAGGAUUAGAUACC